rnacentral:rRNA from 1 species
AACGAACGCUGGCGGCAGGCUUAACACAUGCAAGUCGAACGCAUUGCAAGAUGAGCGGCAGACGGGUGAGUAACGCGUGGGAACAUCCCCUCUUCCACGGAAUAGCUCUGGGAAACUGGAAUUAAUACCGUAUACGCCCUACGGGGGAAAGAUUUAUCGGGGAAGGAUUGGCCCGCGUUGGAUUAGCUAGUUGGUGGGGUAAAGGCGUACCAAGGCGACGAUCCAUAGCUGGUUCGAGAGGACGAUCAGCCACAUUGGGACCGAUACACGGCCCAAACUCCUACGGGAGGCAGCAGUGGGGAAUAUUGGACAAUGGGCGCAAGCCUGAUACAGCCAUGCCGCGUGAGUGAUGAAGGCCUUAGGGUUGUAAAGCUCUUUCACCGAUGAAGAUAAUGACGGUAGUCGGAGAAGAAGCCCCGGCUAACUUCGUGCCAGCAGCCGCCGUAA